UUGCCAUUAGUUGCUACGAAAGGGCACUCUAAUGGGACUGCCGGUGACAAACCGGAGGAAGUGGGGAUGACGUCAAGUCCUCAUGGCCCUUAUAGGUGGGGCUACACACGUCAUACAAUGGCUGGUACAGAGGGUUGCCAACCCGCGAGGGGGAGCUAAUCCCAUAAAGCCAGUCGUAGUCCGGAUCGCAGUCUGCAACUCGACUGCGUGAAGUCGGAAUCGCUAGUAAUCGCGGAUCAGAAUGUCGCGGUGAAUACGUUCCCGGGUCUU
rnacentral:rRNA from 1 species